rnacentral:rRNA from 1 species
CCUACGAGCGGCAGCAGUGAGGAAUAUUGGUCAAUGGGCGCGAGCCUGAACCAGCCAAGUAGCGUGAAGGAUGACUGCCCUACGGGUUGUAAACUUCUUUUAUAAAGGAAUAAAGUGAGGCACGUGUGCCUUUUUGUAUGUACUUUAUGAAUAAGGAUCGGCUAACUCGGGGCCGGCAGCGGGGGUAAUAGGGGGGGGGGGAGCGUGAUGGGGGGGGGUUGGGGGGAAAGGGGGCGGAGAUGGGUUGUUAAGUCAGUUGUGAAAGUUUGCGGCUCAACCGUAAAAUUGCAAUUGAUACUGGCAGCCUUGAGUACAGUUGAGGUAGGCGGAAUUCGUGGUGUAGCGGUGAAAUGCUUAGAUAUCACGAAGAACUCCGAUUGCGAAGGCAGCCUACUAAACUGCCACUGACAUUGAUGCUCGAAAGUGUGGGUAUCAAACAGGAUUAGAUACCCGGGUAGUC